CAAUAGCGUAUAUUAAAGUUGUUGCAGUUAAAAAGCUCGGAGUUGGAUUUCUGGUUGAAGCGACCGGUCGGGCGUUGAUUCGUCUGCACUGGAGUCGGUUUUGGCCAUCCUCUAGGAAAGUGCGUCUGGUAUUAAGUUAUCGGGCGUAUGAUCCUGGUCUUUUACUGUGAAAAAAUUAGAGUGUUUAAAGCAGGCCUUCGCCUUGAAUACAUUAGCAUGGAAUAAUAAGAUAGGACUUUGGUCUAUUUUGUUGGUUUGCAGACCGAAGUAAUGAUUAAUAGGGAUAGUUGGGGGUAUUUAUAUUCCGAUGUCAGAGGUGAAAUUCUUAGAUUUUCGGAAGAUAAACUUAUGCGAAAGCAUUUACCAAGGAUGUUUUCAUUA
rnacentral:rRNA from 1 species